UCAAAAGUGAGUAACAUGUAGUUCCACUUGAUCAAUUCCUAAAUUUGAAAGAAAUGUGAUUUUGGACUCAAUUGUGAUCGUUAAUCAACAACUGUAUAUGGAUGUGUUUGUUUUGUUGAGCAGUUGUUGACGGGCAUAUAAAAAGACCACAAGAUCACAAACAAGUCUCAGCGUUUAUGGUUGCCUUUUAAGAUUCAUUUGGCAUUAAAUCGGUCAUACCGGUGUUUUAAUGAACAUCUGUCCUUGUCGCAAACUAGUCUAAGCGUUUAUGCUUCUUAUGUUUUACUGAACAUCUAUCGUUGUCGUUCUUCAUUAUUGAAGUGCUAUUAGCUCGACUGCCGAGGAAUUCUGAUUUGAAUUUAUAACACGGCUGGAACUCCAGUGAAGCCGUAUAUCUGCACUAUGCCGCUGAGGAUGGAUGAUGGCUGGAAUCAAAUCCAGUUUAAUCUAACUGAUUUUGUCAGGAGAGCCCAUGGAACAAACUAUGUGGAGACGUUGCGAGUUCAGGUUCAUGCAAAUUGCCGUCUGAGGAGGAUACAUUUCUCUGACCGCUUGUACUCCGAAGAGGAACUUCCUCCCGAGUUUUAGAUUGAUCCGGUAUUCUAAUGCUCGUAAUCAUGCUUCUGUACCUUGUUGUUUGAUGUCCACUCAUUGACUAUAAUGUUUGUGCUGCACAGAAAGCGUGAUAUGAUGCAACAAAGGAGGGAUCGAAAGCAUUGGAGCUGGAUUUUGAGACUUUUUCAGAUUGUAAUUUGUGCUAGUGUGGCUUUUCAAAAACAAUAAAGAAACAACUAAGUUGUAACAGAGCAUAUUUUAUGCAGAGAGUAAUUUGUGUGGAUCCAAAUCAAAUAUAAGCAUGAAGCAGAACUAACUGUAAUGUUUGCUUGUUUCAUUUA